rnacentral:rRNA from 1 species
UACGUAGGUGGCAAGCGUUGUCCGGAAUUAUUGGGCGUAAAGCGCGCGCAGGCGGUCCUUUAAGUCUGAUGUGAAAGCCCACGGCUCAACCGUGGAGGGUCAUUGGAAACUGGGGGACUUGAGUGCAGAAGAGGAAGCGGAAUUCCACGUGUAGCGGUGAAAUGCGUAGAGAUGUGGAGGAACACCAGUGGCGAAGGCGGCGACCUGGAUAGGUACUGACACUCAACUACGAAAGCGUGGGGAGCAAACAGG